CACAUGAGCGCGAUCCGCGCAUGAUAAGCGCAUCGCCACGAAAGCAAGAUAGGGAACACAUAAGCGUAACCUGUACCUCACGGGUAAAAUUAAACAUCAUCGUAUAUACGUUGCUGUGCGACGGACACAAGCGCACGGAAACAUCACACACUGCACACGUGUACCUCCGAGGUUGUGUCGACAAUUUCUGGGCUACAUUUAAACGACAGCAGGAAGUUACUUCAAUGAGAAACGAAGUGAGGGCACAGGCACUGCAGGUAACGGCUGCGCAUAAAGUCAGUUAGGGUUUUAAGGCCAGUGACCGAGGUUGAAAUCGUUAAAAUCACACCGCAGCGAUAGCUUACACAGGGUAAAUUGUCGAGAUCUUGAAGGCCAUGCUUUUUGCUGACUACAUGUGGCAUAAGCGAUUCAAAAGCAAGAAUACUGCAUGUAAUUUAUUUCUGCCCUAAACUAUAGCACACAAUAUGAGCAUGUCAAUGUUUCUUCUUGUCUAGCAACAUAUGUAUGUAGUUCGGCUCAAAGGCCGGCUCAAAACGGCACAAAACCUGCUGUAGUGGGUAUUAUUGUAGGAAUCACGGAGGCCACAGCAGCCGCACUAUUAUACAGACGGCGCUGGCGGCGCCGGUAUUUUCGUAUUCAACGCGACAGGUAGAAUACGAAGCUACGGCGUGUUGUUAUUGCUCCGUCUUCAACGGUUGUCGUGCGAGCUGCGUCGAUGUGUUUGUUUGACCGUGUGUUAUUAGGUUUGCUGUAAUGAAAUGAGACGUAGUUCGCGAGCACGAAAGUGCCAGAAGAUGGCUUGAGUCUCGCUGUAAGCACGCCGUAUGCGUGGCGCGCCAGCUAAAUGUGGACCAACGAUUUUCAUGCCAUGGAGUGCGUUCCCUUUGUCUCCGCUUGUGUUCGUGGAAAGUUUGGUGGACGGCGCAGAGAAGUAAUGCGUAUUAUUAGCGCGCCUCAGCUCGUCCACUACCCAGUGGCUUGUUUGCUGCAAGUAACAUCGCAGACGCAUCACUGGAAACUUGGAGAGUGCCUUUCGACCUCGUCGUACUGUUGAAACGUGGCGAGGCCGUGACCCACAACAUUAACUACAAGAUCGAGGAGCCCCAAGAAAUGCCGACCCUGUGGAUAUAUGGCUGCAGCAGCAUGGCGUGUGAUCUGGAUCGUCAUGACAGGCUCCACCGUCGCCGUUACUAGACGGACCAAAUGAGGCCAAAAACUAGCCUUUCCUCGCUCCAUUCCUGGGAAGUGAAAUAGCAGGUGGUCAUGUAAGAAUGAACUUGCAACCAUGUGGGCAGUAGCCAAAGCUCCCUACAGUUCAUGCUGGUGGUGGAAUGAUAAGACAAACCGCAAUAUUUAUUUGUUUACUUAUUCACUUAAUAUUUAUUUAUUCAUAUCUCAUGAAUACUGUGCAGUUUUUUUAGCAAGGAGUCAGGUAAAAUAAAGAAAUAUUGUUGCAUCAAAGUAAACGUUAUUUGAAAAAGCAUAAUUCACGUAGCACGAAUUCAUGGAAACUGUAAAUUUUGAAGAAACAGAGCAGUAAGGUUAACAAAUCUUAUAUAACAAAAAAUGAGAUCACAUUUCUGUUGGACCUAAUACCAUAAUUUAAUCUGUCAAAUUAGAGAUACCAUAUGCUGCUCUAAUAUACAAUCACUAAUUUAUGAGUAGAUGCGCGAAACUCUCAAACGUUGCAACAAUUUCAUGCUAGCUGUAAAUUCAUAUAUACAGUUUGUUGACUUUAGACAUAGCAGAUGGAGUCUGCAGAACUAUGAUAUCUCUUUCUGGCACAGAGACGGGCAUUAGUAAGCUUCGUGGUGUUAUUUUUCUUAAACCUGCCAAAUAGUCCUUCCUGCAACAGGUAGAAUUCUCAAAUGCCGCAAACUUAAUUCAAAUUAGUGCUGUGGUUGUCUCAAAAGUAUUUCUGUAUUUUGGAUGUAUUUGAGUAGGAAAAUUUACAGAAUUAACGAACUUGUGCUAGCUCUUUUUUUUUAUUUACAGUUGCAAACUAAGUCCUUUUCCUUCAAGUUUUGCUAUUUUCAGCAAAUUUUAAUAAAAAUUGAUGGUGUUAAUGUAAAAACUAUAAUUUAAACAUUUUUAAAUGUAUCAAACCUCAUCAAAUUUGGUUGCAUAGUUGCCGAGAAAAACGAUUUUACUGUUCAUGUGCAUUACAUAGGAGCUCCUGAGCUAGAUCUUUUUUUAGUCAUUGCGUGUGUCGGUCUGGUUUGUAUUUCUCACCCUAAUUAGAAUAUUGGCUCUGAUCUCAAAAUUGUUUCCCUUACAACGAAAUACAAGCUUUUAAACUUUUUACGAUAUAUGCUGUACUGCUCUAUGAUAACCCCUGGUUGCCACAUUUUUGCAGGGCCUACCAGUGCUAAUCUUACACAUAAACAUAGACUAAAAUGCUGUGUGGUUUCGGUAUAUGGUGUACUUAUCUGUGAAAGCCAUUAUUUGCCACAUUUUUGCAGCGACUGCCAGUGUUAUUUUUGCUCAGACUAAAAUGCUGUGUCGUUUCGUCAGGCUGACACAACAUUGCAGUGCACAUUCAUAUCAGUCUAUUUUCAGGAUUUAGUAUCCAAACAUUUAAUGUGCACUGCUGGAACAGGCACUCCUUUUGCAGUUUUAAUGGUAUGGUUUCUUGUCCUAGUCAAGCCUGUUAUUGCGAGGUGUCAACUGUAAUCAAGUCUGCCACUGAUUCUUUUACCUCAUGUUUCGUGUGUUUGCACCACCAGCUUGACCUGAGAAGCAUGUUGGCAGCUACAGUUUGUGUGUUGCAAGUUCUAGUCUGAAGUGUGUAUGUCACAUAUAUGAAGCAUGUAUCUAGUCUGAAGUGCAAUAAACAUUUCAAACUGAAUACUUUGUGGUUGUAGCACCAAUUAUUUUGCCACUGC